CUGUUUGUAGACUUCUACGGGGUAAGACCCCUUACUGUCAGAUAUUCCAAUUUCUGGGAUGCUACCCUAGUUUUCUCCUUUUUGGAAACCUGGCCUUCUAACGAGGCCUUAUCCCUACGCCAACUCUCUGCCAAAUUGGCCCUGCUUUUGUGCCUCGUGUCGUUUCGCAGAGUUUCUGACGUUCAGGCCUUUGAUUCUCACGCAGUGUUUUUCUCACCAGAAGGAG